UACGUAGGGUGCGAGCGUUAAUCGGAAUUACUGGGCGUAAAGCGUGCGCAGGCGGUUAUUUAAGUCAGGUGUGAAAGCCCUGGGCUUAACCUAGGAAUUGCGCUUGAGACUGGAUAGCUUGGAGUGCGGCAGAGGGAGGUGGAAUUCCACGUGUAGCAGUGAAAUGCGUAGAUAUCAGGAGGAAUACCGAUGGCGAAGGCAGGUCUCUGGGCUGACACUGACGCUCAUGCACGAAAGCGUGGGGAGCAAACAGG
rnacentral:rRNA from 1 species